GGCAGAUGAGGACACACGGUGAUGUAUUUAUGAGGCUGCCUUCCCGCCGGGUAGCACUUGGGAGCAGGAUUUACUGCAUUUUUUUAAAAACAUACUUUGUAAAGAUAUGCACAAAAGAGGACAACCUGCUUCAGGAGGUGACUGAAUGGUGGGCGUGUUCGAACCAAGAACACUUUAUGGCUACGUGAAUGUGAUAAAAAGCAAGAGAAAGCUUCUGAAAGCCUACUGGUCUACCUCUGCAUUCUGAGUCCAUGAGGAACCAGGAGGGUACCAUCUCCACAGAGACCAGGGAUGGCUGCACUGUCUGCUGCUGAGCUUCCACACCCAGGCUGUCUUUCAGUUCAGAGCUGCCUUCAGCUCUGCAUUGUGAGGCAGGCAGCCAGCAUCGAUGCUCCAGUUUUACAAACAGAGCAACUGAGUCAUUUUCCUAUUGUUACCGAACCAGAGUCACCUAGUGAGUCAUCCUGAGGUCUUAGAACCGGAUCUCGGUGCUUAUUCCUGGGGGCAGGCAAGGAGCUGAAUUUCUGCAAGGGUUCCAGAGAAAGCUUCACUAGAGGGUCCUGAGAGGAGCACACUAGCAUGCAACAGAAUCAAAACCAACGGUUAACUCUCAGGACGCCUGCAAGCCUGAAAAAAAGGGGAGAAAAUAUGUGUGUGUAACGUUGUGAUCACAUCAUGCCGGGAUUCCUAAUUGCUCUCAAAACGUCCUGUAAAUUCUUGGGUUUGUGUAUUCUUCAUCUUGUAAAAGUCAUUUAUG
rnacentral:lncRNA from 1 species